UGGGGAAUAUUGGGCAAUGGGCGAAAGCCUGACCCAGCAACGCCGCGUGAAGGAAGAAGGUCUUCGGAUUGUAAACUUCUUUUAUGAGGGACGAAGGACGUGACGGUACCUCAUGAAUAAGCCACGGCUAACUACGUGCCAGCAGCCGCGGUAAUACGUAGGGGGCGAGCGUUGUCCGGAAUUACUGGGCGUAAAGGGAGCGUAGGCGGUUAAUUAAGUUAGAUGUGAAAUACCCGGGCUUAACUUGGGGGGUGCAUCUAAUACUGGUAAACUAGAGUACAGGAGAGGAAAGCGGAAUUCCUAGUGUAGCGGUGAAAUGCAUAGAUAUUAGGAGGAACAUCGGUGGCGAAGGCGGCUUUCUGGACUGACACUGACGCUGAGGCUCGAAAGCGUGGGGAGCAAACAGGAUUAGAUACCCUGGUA
rnacentral:rRNA from 1 species